GCAUGAUUUACAUGCAAUGCAUUGUGUAGUUCUGGAGGCACCUGAGUUUUUGAUACAUCUAGGGACCUGGGUAACUUGGUCCUAAGAUAAAAAGUAUUAUGUUACACACAACAUUUAUUAUAAUAUAACAAGGUCAGAAUGGUGAUUGAUACUUGUAAGUUAAGCACCAGGUAACGGAAGUAGGAGGAACCAGAGUUUAAAGAUGUAUGAGGCACUAUCACGCACACACACACACACACACACACACACACACACACACACACACAGAUAUGUAUGCACACACACAGAGACUUCUCCCGCAAUGAGCUAUGAUCAUUGCUUUAAUAGCCAGCAUUUGUUUUCGUUUGAUUGUUUGGGGAACAUAGUUUGUAGCCCGGGCUGCCCAGAAACUCUCUACAGACUCAUGGUUGGCCUCAAACUGUUGGCCCUAGAACUUCUGGUAAUCCUCCUGCAACUGGUAGAGUUAUAGGUGUAAGCCCCCACUUCAGUCACUCAGCCCCACUGAUAAUACCUGUUACAUAUUGUCUGUUUAAAUUCAGCCCUUCCGGUAAGUUGUGGAAGUUUUGAGGGUGGGAUAGACAUCUCGCUAGCACAGAUGACAACCCGUAGUUCUUAGGUCUCACUGGGAAAUGUGUUGUGUUGGCUAUGGGUCAGGCCUCUGCUGUCUGAGUACUGCUCUGACGUUCCCUCCCUGACAGAUGGAGGUGCUUGGGGCAGUGCUGAUGCUCAGGCAAACGCUCCUACAGCAGAGUGAGCGCACAGGUCCUCCUGUGCCUGGAUCCUUGGUCCAAGUCUCCUCACGCGGCUCAACUUUACGUCUGUGUCAGAAGAACGUCAAGACCAAUUGCCACUUCUUUUUUUUCUCAGAGUCCUCACCCAACAUAAGGCUUCCAAGAUGACAGAGAACAGGAGGUUGCGAUGACUACUGUUGAGACCAUUGUCAAGGGAAAGUCCUUUUCUUUUGAAGACCACUUGGAUGCUGACAUUUGCUGGAAGUGCCUAGAUUACUGCGAAGGCUUGGCUGGGUUUAUGGUUGACAAAACAUCUUUUGGUGACAUCAGAAGGGACCUACUGGUGUCCGCGUGGGCAGAAGAGAGUAGUACUACUGCUUUGAGAUAGCCAGUUGAAAGCCAGCACCUGCUUCGGUCCACAGGAAGGCAAACUAGCUCCCAUCACACAGGCUAAUGCUUUGUUCUUAGUUGAAAUCUAUACCAAGACUGCUGAGCAUCCUGGAUUCUCCAACUGGGCUGCCACAGGCAGAUUCUGGCUCAGCAUCUCAAUAUGGCAGAGAUCUUCUUCACUGCACAUGUACCCACUGGGAGGACUCAAACCUGGUAUUUCAGAACUCAGGAGAAAAAUUCACACUUUGCAUUUCUCACUGUCACAUGGAGGAGACUGUGACAAGGCCAGCUCUAGUGGCACAGGAUCAUAUGUACAAAUGGAUAUUCUUGAUAAACUUAUAGAAGUGAUGGCACAGACCCAAAGUUCCAAGCACUCCUCACUCUACCCUCAGAAGAUGCAAAGAUGAGUCCAUGCUCCAACUGAUCGCAUCUGGAUUCUAGAGUGUUCUUGAGUGUGUGAAGCUUCAAAGGAAGGAUGUUAAUGUGCUUCGAGGCAGAGGUCAGGAUGUACCUGAAGAAAGGCCUCAUACCAAAAGGUGGAUGUGAUAAGAGACCCAUUAACCAGUAGCAGAGGUCACGUGGCUUGUGUAAAGAGGAGACAUCUGGACCACGCAUGCCCAUUUUAUCACUGGACACCUUUGCAGAGAUUAUGGGGAUGAUCCAGUAACACUGCUUUUGGGUGAGUAGCCGAUGUCUUCACUGGGAUCAGGCAGUCUCCUCACAAAACACUCCAAGAGCUGACAGUAUCUCAUUAGUGGGUACAGUGUCAUUGCAGUGGAGUGUCCCAUUUGUGGACAGUGGAAGUCAAAGUGAUUUAUAGAGAGCAGUUGUCAAGUCAUGGCUGAGUGAGGAACCUGCAUAGGAAAACCCCUUGAGAAGCCUCUCCACAAAGCCAGCCGGUGGGUGACAGUGGCUGGCUCCUUGAUUAGAGGCCAUACAGAGUUGUUUCUGAAUCUAGACUUUGGGUCAUUGGGGGCAGGAGGUAGUUCCUUAUUCAUCGUUCUGUUUUGUUCGAGUUGAGAAACGUGUGUAAGUACACUUUAGACUCAACGAGGAACGUGGGCUUCUUUCACUUCCAGUGCCUGUAGAACCUUCGUCAGCAGCACGCUUGUGGGGAACAGGAAGAGUAGGGCUUUCUUUCUUUCAUACUUU
rnacentral:lncRNA from 1 species